AACGCUGGCGGAAUGCUUAACACAUGCAAGUCGUGCGGUAACACUUCGGGUGACGAGCGGCGGACGGGUGCGUAACGCGUGAGAAUCUACCUUUUAGUGGGGGACAACUCGGGGAAACUCGAGCUAAUACCGCAUAUGUUCUAUGGAAUAAAGCAGGGGACCUUCGGGCCUUGCGCUAAGAGAUGAGCUCGCGUGAGAUUAGCUUGUUGGUGAGGUAAAGGCUCACCAAGGCGACGAUCUCUAGCUGGUCUGAGAGGAUGAUCAGCCACACUGGGACUGAGACACGGCCCAGACUCCUACGGGAGGCAGCAGUGGGGAAUAUUGGACAAUGGGGGCAACCCUGAUCCAGCAAUUCCGCGUGUGUGAAGAAGGCCUGCGGGUUGUAAAGCACUUUCAGUAGCCAAGAUGGGAUUAUUCGCUAAUAUCGGAUAGUCUUGACAUUAACUACAGAAGAAGCACCGGCUAA
rnacentral:rRNA from 1 species